UGUUUAUAGAUAAUUAUUAUAAAUAAAACCUGCUCCCUGUAAAAUAUAAAUAGCCGCAGAAAAUUCACUGUGCUAAGGUAGCAUAAUCAUUAGCCUUUUAAUUAAGGGCUAGAAUGAAAGGAAUAACAAUUCAAAUACUAUAUUUAUUAAUCUUAUAAAAAUUUAACUAAAUAUUAAAAUAUAUUUAUAAAAAAAUAAGACGAUAAGACCCUAUUAAACUUUACUUAGUUAAGCUGGGGCAGCUAAUUAAUAAUAACUUUAAUAAAAUUUUAAUUUUAAAAAUCCAAUAAAAUUGAGAAAACAAGUUACUAUAGGGAUAACAGCGUUAUUUUAUUUUAAAGCUCUUAUUAAAAAUAAAGAUUGCGACCUCGAUGUUGAAUAAUUUAACUUUUACACGCAACUGUUUAAAAAGUAAGUCUGUUCGACUUCUAAUAAAUUACA
rnacentral:rRNA from 1 species